rnacentral:tRNA from 10 species
GCCGUUAUAGCUCAGUUGGUAGAGCGCAUCCUUGGUAAGGAUGAGGUCACCGGUUCAAAUCCGGUUAACGGCUCCA